AGGUCAGCCUCGCUGAGCGCGCACACGGUGGUGCGCGGCCGGUGCGACUGGAAGCCAGAGAAGUCGGCAGACACGCCGGUGCCCAUGGAGCGCAGGGGCCGUCGGGUAGAGUACAUGUGGCGAACGUGGACGGGGGCCCCGCCCUUCCGCCUGGCCCGCAGCUUCCUACGCAGCCAGCGCGACGCCCAGGCCGCCAAGGCCAGGAGUACCAGCAGUGCGUUGACGGCCAGCAGGGCCAAGGUCAGCAGUUGGUAGUCGACGCUGCUCCGGCUCCCAGGCUCCGGCAGGGUGACCAGCCCCGCGCAGUGGUCCCGGGGAGCCACCGGGCAAACCCGGCCGCCUAGCACGCCCUCCACGCACACCAGAUUAUCCUGCAAGGACUCAAUACUUUUAACUACUAUGCUAAAUUGCUUCUUGAAGGUCUUGGUGUCAUCACACAGACGAGUGCAUUAAAAAAAAAAUGGAGCCUUAAAAUAAAAAAAUAUUAGCAACACUAAGUGCCACGGCUUGCAGAACCUUAGCUCCCUGGCUAGGGAUUGAACCUGUGCCCCCUGCAGUGGAAGUGCGGAGUCUUAACCACUGGACUGCCAGGGAAGUCCCACAAACUCACCUUUCAAAGAAGGGAGCCUCAAUAAUGUUUUGUAUUUAAAUUCCAUUUCCCAGUGCUUACGGUUGACAUUCAUCUAA